rnacentral:snRNA from 1 species
AGCUUUGAGCAGUGGCAGUAUUGUAGCCAAUGAGGUUUAUCCAAGGUGCGAUUAUUGUUAAUUGAAAACGUUCCAAUAUCCUGCCAUGAUGACUUGAAAUAUAGGUAGCAUUGGCAAUUUUUGACAGUCUCUGCAGAGA